rnacentral:lncRNA from 1 species
AGUUGGUACAGUAGGAUGUUUCUGCCAGGAGGUUCAGGUCGAGUUAAUCAUAUACAACAAUGUCAGCAUCGAGAUAUGUGGUCGAGUGAAUUUGAUUCAUCGAUUAUGGUUUGGAGAAUAAGCCAAGGAUCAUACAGAAAAUCUUUGUGAACUUCGGCAAAAAUUUUGGAGUAGAUAAAAAGACCAUCGAGUUUCAAAGCUUCGAGGAGAUGUUAGAGUAUGACGUGAAUGUUAAAGAAGCUAUUAUUGUUGAAGAAGUUAACCAAGUCCUGCAGACCGUUUAUUUUCCAACCGGUGUAGAUCAAAGGUCAGUUUCAAAUGAGUUAAGUAGGUCGUUGGAGAUGAUUUUGGGUGUACAUUUCAUCAGAUCAAGAUCGAGGACCUUGAGCCGUUAUGGUUGUGACUAGCAAGGACAGAAUGGUCAUGAUUGUCAAAGUCUGGGAAAUCCUGGAAUGUUUGCAUCAUUCGCGCUUUGGUUGUUCUUGUGAAGAGUUAGGAUUUUAGGUUACCCUUCCUUAUGAAGUUAUCUAGUUCUUUUACCUAUACCUAGGGUACUAGUAGUUGAACUUUUUUGCGCUUCCUUACCAUUAGUCUUAAUCCAAGUGUUAGGCUAUUUGGGUAGAGCCUACACUUUAUGGUUGUCUGGAC